GACGAACGCUGGCGGCGUGCCUAAUACAUGCAAGUCGAACGCAUUUUCUUUCACCGUAGCUUGCUACACCGAAAGAAAAUGAGUGGCGAACGGGUGAGUAACACGUGGGUAACCUGCCCAUCAGCGUGGGAUAACACUUGGAAACAGGUGCUAAUACCGCAUAAUUCCAUUUACUGCAUGGUAGAUGGAUGAAAGGCGCUUUUGCGUCACUGAUGGAUGGACCCGCGGUGCAUUAGCUAGUUGGUGGGGUAACGGCCUACCAAGGCUGCCAUGCAUAGCCGGGCUGGGAGGGUGAUCCGCCAACCUGGGACUGGGACAAGGCCCAGACCCCUUAGGGAGGGAGCAGGAGGGGAACAUUGGAAAUGGAGGGAAGGCUGAACGAGGAACGCCGGGGGAGUGGAGAAGGGUCUCGGAUCGUAAAAGUCUGUUGUUAGAGAAGAAAAAGGAUGAGAGUGGAACGUUCAUGCCUUGACGGUAUCUAAAGAGAAAGCCACGGCUAACUACGUG
rnacentral:rRNA from 1 species